GAUGAACGCUGGCGGCGUGCUUAACACAUGCAAGUCGAACGAAGCAUUUAAGACAGAUUACUUCGGUUUGAGGUCUUUUAUGACUGAGUGGCGGACGGGUGAGUAAAGCGUGGGUAACCUGCCUCAUACAGGGGGAUAGCAGGUGGAAACGGCUGGUAAUACCGCAUAAGCGCACAGUACCACAUGGUACAGUGUGAAAAACUCCGGUGGUAUGAGAUGGACCCGCGUCUGAUUAGCUUGUUGGCGGGGUAACGGCCCACCAAGGCGACGAUCAGUAGCCGACCUGAGAGGGUGACCGGCCACAUUGGGACUGAGACACGGCCCAGACUCCUACGGGAGGCAGCAGUGGGGAAUAUUGCACAAUGGAGGAAACUCUGAUGCAGCGACGCCGCGUGAGUGAAGAAGUAGUUCGCUAUGUAAAGCUCUAUCAGCAGGGAAGAUAGUGACGGUACCUGACUAAGAAGCUCGGGCUAAAUACGUG
rnacentral:rRNA from 1 species